CCCUUAGAUGUCCUGGGCCGCACGCGCGCUACACUGAGUGUCUGAGAUACGAGUCUGCCUGGUCCGGCAAGGUCUAGGUAAUCGCUAAAAGACACAUCAUGCUUGGGAUAGAUUAUUGCAAAUAUUAAUCUUGAACGAGGAAUUCCUAGUAAGCGCAAGUCAACAGCUUGCGUUGAUUACGUCCCUGCCCUUUGUACACACCGCCCGUCGCUACUACUGAUUGGAUGUUUAAGCGAGGUUCUCGAACUGCUAGCGACUUAGCUUCGGUGAGGUCGCAGUGUGGGAAGUGGACCUAGCUUUGGUGUCUAGAGGAAGUAAAAGUCGUAACA
rnacentral:rRNA from 1 species